AGCAAGGCUUGCCCGCGAUGCAUACGCCUCGGUUUAUCUUGCUACCGAGGCGUAUGCAUCGCGGGCAAGCCUUACU
rnacentral:misc_RNA from 1 species